rnacentral:tRNA from 1 species
GGAGAGGUGGCCGAGUGGUCGAAGGCGCUCCCCUGCUAAGGGAGUAUACCCCAUAAGGGUAUCGAGGGUUCGAAUCCCUUCUUCUCCGCCA